rnacentral:rRNA from 1 species
UACGGAGGGGGCUAGCGUUGUUCGGAAUUACUGGGCGUAAAGCGCACGUAGGCGGCUUUGCAAGUUAGAGGUGAAAGCCCGGGGCUCAACUCCGGAAUUGCCUUUAAAACUGCAUCGCUAGAAUUGUGGAGAGGUAAGUGUAAUUCCGAGUGUAGAGGUGAAAUUCGUAGAUAUUCGGAAGAACACCAGUGGCGAAGGCGACUUACUGGACACAUAUUGACGCUGAGGUGCGAAAGCGUGGGGAGCAAACAGG